rnacentral:rRNA from 1 species
GAUGAACGCUGGCGGCGUGCUUAACACAUGCGAGUCGAACGGAAAGGCCACAGCUUGCUGUGGUACUCGAGUGGCGAACGGGUGAGUAACACGUGGGUGAUCUGCCCUGUACUUCGGGAUAAGCUUGGGAAACUGGGUCUAAUACCGGAUAGGAAUCACAUGUGGGUGUGUGGUUGGAAAGCUUUUGCGGUAUGGGAUGAGCUCGCGGCCUAUCAGCUUGUUGGUGGGGUAAUGGCCUACCAAGGCGUCGACGGGUAGCCGGCCUGAGAGGGUGUACGGCCACAUUGGGACUGAGAUACGGCCCAGACUCCUACGGGAGGCAGCAGUGGGGAAUAUUGCACAAUGGGCGCAAGCCUGAUGCAGCGACGCCGCGUGGGGGAUGACGGCCUUCGGGUUGUAAACUCCUUUCGUCAGGGACGAAGCGAAAGUGACGGUACCUGGAGAAGAAGCACCGGCUAACUACGUG